GAAAGCCGUUAUUAGCCGUUUAUCGUCCAUUGAAUCUAUCACCUCCGAAAGUCUCUGUUCAACGUCCGCGGAAGAGAGUCCAUGAAUCUGACUAUGAAAAUUCCCAGGAGUUUUGGAAAAGGAGACCAUCCCAAAGCAAAAAAGGAAGGAGCACUUAUCAACCAGGGACAAUACUGAAGAAAGUCGUAGCCGGAGUCGGUGGUGCAAAGGAAUUUAAAAUUCAAUAACAAUCGUACAACAUUGAAUCCUGACUAUUAUCGUUGUUCAAGUGGGACAAAAUUCUUUUUUGUGGCCUCAAUCAGGGCUAUUCACGUUGAUAUGAAGAAUGUUAUGAUACUUACUGAUGAUUACAUCACCAUAUUCGACAAAGAAUGGAUUACGAACAGUAUUAUCGAUUAUAGGACAGCAGUAUUAAUGAAAUCCAAAAGAGAAGACAACACAGUUUACGUUUCGUUUGAGUUUAUUAGAUCGAUCCAAGUAGUAGUACAGCAAGCCCGUCGGUCAAUGGACGUUUCAAUAAUUUCAUUGUCGCUUAUCGAAAGGUUUUUCCUACAUCAACGAUGAAAUGGUCUCUGAAUAUUCCGCCUCAUCCUCCACAACGUGAUGGAUACAAUUGCGGGGUUUUCGUAAUUCAUUACAUUGAAUAAAUUCUCCCGGGAAGACUCCUACACAUCAGUCACUUCGAUCCUGCCGAAAAACGUGAAGACAUUAAACGGGGUAUCUUGGUAAAGUCUGUCGAUAUCGAACGUGUGCCGGAGACCUGCGAGAUAAGUUUAGCGCCUGCACUCGGAGGUGCAUAUGGUGUCAUUGUUUAUUCAUUCAAUUGUGUCAAUUGCUUUAUUAUAUCUAAAUGUUGUUGUGGCUUUUGAAUACCAUUGAUCAGAUACAUGUGAG